rnacentral:lncRNA from 1 species
GAGUUUCCCUGCACAAGCUCUCUCUCUUUGCCUGCCUCCAUCUACAUAAGAUGUGAUUUUCUCCUUCUUGCCUUCUUCCAUGAUUGCGAGACCUUACCCAGCCAUGUGGAACUAUGGAGCUCAUACAGUCCAUUGAAGGCCUGAACAGAGCAAUAAGCCUGAGUAAGAGAGAAUUCCUCUCUCUGCCCGUCUUCAACCGGGGACAUUGGUCUUUUCUUGCCUUCAGACUCUGACAGGGUCUGGAACUUACACUAUCAACUCUCCUUGACUUCCAGCUUCCUGAGUGCAGCUUCCAUAUGCAACUACUCUUUUACCACCAAAAUCAUUCUUUCACAGUUUUUCCUAACAAACCCUGAAGAGGAAGCAAACUGCUGACCCAG